rnacentral:rRNA from 1 species
UACGGGGGGGCAAGCGUUGUUCGGAAUUACUGGGCGUAAAGGGCUCGUAGGCGGCCAACUAAGUCAGACGUGAAAUCCCUCGGCUUAACCGGGGAACUGCGUCUGAUACUGGAUGGCUAGAGAUUGGGAGAGGGAUGCGGAAUUCCAGGUGUAGCGGUGAAAUGCGUAGAGAUGCGGAGGAACACCGAUGGCGAAGGCAGCCCCCUGGGCCAAUACUGACGCUCAGGCACGAAAGCGUGGGGAGCAAACAGG